rnacentral:tRNA from 1 species
UGGGUUGUAGCUCAGUGGUUAGAGCACUUGCCUAGCAUGUAUGAGGCACUGGGUUUGAUCCUCAGCACCACAU